AUUGAACGCUGGCGGCAUGCCUUACACAUGCAAGUCGAACGGCAGCACGGGAGCAAUCCUGGUGGCGAGUGGCGAACGGGUGAGUAAAGUAUCGGAACGUGCCCAGUCGUGGGGGAUAACGUAGCGAAAGUUACGCUAAUACCGCAUACGAUCUAUGGAUGAAAGCGGGGGAUCGCAAGACCUCGCGCGAUUGGAGCGGCCGAUAUCAGAUUAGGUAGUUGGUGGGGUAAAGGCUCACCAAGCCGACGAUCUGUAGCUGGUCUGGGAGGACGACCAGCCACACUGGGACUGAGACACGGCCCAGACUCCUACGGGAGGCAGCAGUGGGGAAUUUUGGACAAUGGGCGCAAGCCUGAUCCAGCCAUGCCGCGUGCAGGAUGAAGGCCUUCGGGUUGUAAACUGCUUUUGUACGGAACGAAAAGGUUUGGCCUAAUAAGCUGAGCUCAUGACGGUACCGUAAGAAUAAGCACCGGCUAACUACGUGCCAGCAGCCGCGGUAA
rnacentral:rRNA from 1 species